GAGGGUAUAGCUCAAUGGUAGAGCACAUACUUAGCAUGCACAGAGUCCUGGGUUCAGUCCCCAGUAUCACCA
rnacentral:tRNA from 1 species